GACGUUGAUCGGACUAUUGAGGCGUAAGGGCUCGCAGGCGGUUUCUUAAGUCUGAUGUGAAAGCCCCCGGCUCAACCGGGGAGGGUCAUUGGAAACUGGGGAACUUGAGUGCAGAAGAGGAGAGUGGAAUUCCACGUGUAGCGGUGAAAUGCGUAGAGAUGUGGAGGAACACCAGUGGCGAAGGCGACUCUCUGGUCUGUAACUGACGCUGAGGAGCGAAAGCGUGGGGAGCGAACAGGAUUAGAUACCCUGGUAGUCCACGCCGUAAACGAUGAGUGCUAAGUGUUAGGGGGUUUCCGCCCCUUAGUGCUGCAGCUAACGCAUUAAGCACUCCGCCUGGGGAGUACGGUCGCAAGACUGAAACUCAAAGGAAUUGACGGGGGCCCGCACAAGCGGUGGAGCAUGUGGUUUAAUUCGAAGCAACGCGAAGAACCUUACCAGGUCUUGACAUCCUCUGACAAUCCUAGAGAUAGGACGUCCCCUUCGGGGGCAGAGUGACAGGUGGUGCAUGGUUGUCGUCAGCUCGUGUCGUGAGAUGUUGGGUUAAGUCCCGCAACGAGCGCAACCCUUGAUCUUAGUUGCCAGCAUUCAGUUGGGCACUCUAAGGUGACUGCCGGUGACAAACCGGAGGAAGGUGGGGAUGACGUCAAAUCAUCAUGCCCCUUAUGACCUGGGCUACACACGUGCUACAAUGGACAGAACAAAGGGCAGCGAAACCGCGAGGUUAAGCCAAUCCCACAAAUCUGUUCUCAGUUCGGAUCGCAGUCUGCAACUCGACUGCGUGAAGCUGGAAUCGCUAGUAAUCGCGGAUCAGCAUGCCCGGGGGAAAUACCUUUCCCGGGGCCUUGUACACACCGCCCGUCACACCACGAGAGUUUGUAACACCCGAAGUCGGUGAGGUAACCUUUUAGGAGCCAGCCGCCGAAGGUGGGACAGAUGAUUGGGUGAGCUAAAAGAAAGACCCUA
rnacentral:rRNA from 1 species